rnacentral:tRNA from 1 species
GCCUGGGUGGCUCAGUGGUUGAGCAUCUGCCUUUGGCUCAGUGUGUGACCCAAGUCGUAGGAUCGAGUCCUGUAUCAGGUU